UUCACAAAGAGCAUUAUAGCAGCAUUAGCAUGAAGAGAUUUUGAUUCUGAGAGAUUGCUGAGAGGACUAAAUGCUCCCUUGUAAAUCUUUGAAUUAUGGCAGGGAAUAAUAACAGUUCUGUCACUUUGCAGUCGCUCCAAGAGCUGAAACCUCUCAUAUAUAUUGCCUCCUCUUUAGAAGAUGAGCUCUUUGAAGGCAGGAACUGUUCCUGCUUAUGGAUUUGUAUCCCAGUAAGUGACUCAGUGCUUUGAAAAUGAUUGUGGCAGAAAAGUCUCCAAUGUCAAAUACAGGCCACUGAGCAGACUGUGACUUGCUGUCAUUAGAAAAGGUAGACCUAAAUAAAUUAAGCCUUGCUUAGGGGCUCCCAAGGGUUAUGCUUUCACUGAAGUUGAACAUAAAUGGUAAAGAGGUAACCUGCUACAGUAGUAGGAAGAAAGAGGAAGAGGAGGAGGAAGAAGAAGAGAAGAACAGCAGCAACAACAACACAGUAUAUUUCAGUAAUUGAGAGGGUGCAAUACAAUAUGGAGAAGGAUGAGAAGAAGUAGAAUAACAACCUUUGGAGAAAAUAGCUACAACAUUUUGUCUACAGAUUGGGAUCUGGAUUAACACAAGAGGGAGGAACUUUCUUCCUCCCAGUGAUGAUGAUAGGAAUUCCCAAUGUACUAAUGAAGGAAGAUGAAAUGAGUGAUUAUGGUUGGUAACUCCAGGCUGAAGACUGAGAUGCCUGUUUGUUCAUCUGACAGAAGCAAUAGAGAGGUUUGACCUCUUUCCAGCAUUUAUACCUGGGCCAUAAUCAACAACCUCCCAAGAAUUCUCAAUACACUUGAAUCUAAUAGACUAAUUCUAUAAUAGACUAAUAAAUUAUUAAAUGGCUAGUAUGUUCAAGAUACUCCUGUAGACAAAAAAAUAAUAACAUAGUUUCUCAUGUCAUUGAGCUUACCUUUUACUCAUUCCUGGUUAUAUCACUAGAAAAACCUAAAAAGCAAUGAGAAAGAUAAAGACAAGGAAAUAUUAGGCAAAAGACUGAAGAUCUUAGAGGCCCAGGUAUAUUCAUUACUGCUAUUUGUUGAAGAUUAGGGAUCAGAUGAAAAAUGUUUAUUUGAGAAGUCAACAGCUGUCAAGCAAAAUGGUGUCUGAGAACAGGAUUUGUAUUUCUGGAUCAUGACUGGGGAUGGAGUUCACCUAGUAAGGGCCAGGAAAAGCAUAUUUGCCUGGAGGCUUAUGAAUUUAAUCAAAAGGGCUUUGCACUGAAGAGGGAAGGGAAAGAGGAAAACUCUCCAAAGAGAUUUGCCAAAUCUGAAAAAAAUAGAGUAACAGAAUAUUGGAAUCAACAUAGCAGGAAAGAUCUAGUAAUUGGUGGAAGACAAUAUUUUUUUAAAGAUUCAACAAUAAUAAAGAAGGAUGAACUAAAGUGAUGCAGGGAGACAAAUUUUACAUUAUACUUAUUAAAGAAAAUGGCAUGGGAUUUUGGACUGAAAUUUGUAAUAUGAUAAAGUAGAAGAGAGUUGUAUAAACACUAAUGGGUACACUAGAUUUUGUAAAAACAUAUUUCAGAAGGUUCAAGAAAAGGAUACACAAAAUCCAAUAGUCUUAAUAUUUUAUAGGGAAAGUCAAUUUUAGAAGAAAUAUUAAGGACGCUGCCCAAGGAGAUCUUUGAGACUUAAUAGGGAACACAUUGUCCAUUAAGAUUUUAUUUAUACAAUUUCAUUUUUCUAUUGGUAAUUUUUGGUUUUACAUCCCAUUCAUCCAGUAGCCAGGAUCAUAUAAUUCUCUCAAGCUCAUUGGAAAAAGUCUUCACAUCUUUUUGGGGUUGAAGGAAAAAUGAAUGCCUCUUUUACAUAUGUAUGGCAAUAGAAGCAAAGACAGAUAAUUAAGGAUGAACAUAGCAAAGUAGAGGGGAAAGAAAUUAACAUUUAUAUAAUACCCACUAUGUGGCAACAAUUUUACUAAGCCCUUUUUAGAAAUAUUUCAUUUGAUCCUUACAAUGUCUUUUUGGCUCUUUGAGAUAGGUGCCAUUAUAAUCUUCAUUUUACACUUGAGGAAACUGAGACAAAUAAGUGUUAAGUGACUUGCUAAGGGUCAUACAGCUAGUAAGUAGAAUAGUCCUUUGAGAAGAAUCCUAAUUCAAAUUUCACCUUUCCAAACCUCUCUUAACUCCAGUCCCUUCUCUCUGUUAGUUAUUUUCCAUUUAUCCUGUGUAUCUCAUGCUUUGUAUAUAUUUGUUUGUAGGUUGUUUUCCCAAUUAUAUUGUAAACUCCUUAAAGGCAGAGAUGUCUUCUGUUUCUUUUUAUAUUUAUAGCCCUUAGUGCAUUACCUGACACAUAGUAGGAACUUAAUAAAUGAUUUCUAUUGUUUGAAAAAUGUCAAAAACUCUGCCCCUGAGAGUCUAGCUAUGAAUUAUAAGGACAACAAUAACAAUAAAACACUUUUAAUUUUAUGUUGAGAGGAAAAGGACAGAUCAAAGAAUGGCAACGACCACAAUUCAGAUGGGUGAAAUGAAGAUUUUUGUAUUGAGACAUAAAAAUAGUUACAGGGUAUUUAAAUUGAAAAUAAUUUAGAAAAUGGAAAGAUAGUAUCUAGGUUGCCUCAGUGAGUUCAAAUGCCUGAGCUCAGUCUAAAAGAAUUGAAAUAGUUGGGGAUAUGAUUGGUAACCUUUGAAAGACCAGGAAAACUAGAGAGAUGGUGGUAGAAGGUUAGAGAAGGUCACUAUUCCUCUAUUUUUUAAAUCAAUGAAAGAAGGUGGAGAUUGCAAAUUAUGAGCCAAUGAGUGUGAACCUGGAUUCAUAGUAAAAUUAUAGACCACAUUAUUAAAGAGAUAGUAAACACUGAAAAAAUAAAUUGAUAAUUAAAAAUUACAGUGUCUUCCUCAAGACCAAGUAAUGCUAGAUUUACCUGAUUUCCUUUUUUGUUGAAGCACCUAGCCUCAUAGAUCAGGACAAUUACUUCCCUAGAUUACUGUAAAGUAGUUUUAAAUCUGAUCAAAGCAUUUCCCAGAGUCUAUCAUACUACUCUAAAGGACAAGAUGUAGAGGUGUGGAGUAAAGGUAUUUGGAUUCGUAAGUUGCUGAAAAUCUUCACCUAAAGAACUGUCAUUAAUAGGUCUGUGCAAACAUGGAGGGAAGUCCCUAUUCGAGUAUUCUAGGGAUUUUAUUUUGCAUUUUUGCUGUUUACCACUUUUAUUAAUAUGUUAGUUGAAACCAAUGAAACUAUGCUUUUAAAUUUUCUAGACGAAAUGAAGGAGGGAAGAAUACUGAACAUUUGUUGAAACAGAAUCCAAAAAUUUCUCAUUAAACUGGAAAAAAUGGGCUAAGUUUAAUAAUAUGAAAUUUA